GACGAACGCUAGCGGAGUGCCUACUCCAUGCAAGUAGAACGCAGUUGCGAACGGGUGAGUAACGCGUAGGUAACUGCCUCAUAGCGGUGGAUAACUAUUGGAAACGCUAGCUAAUACCGCAUACUGUUAGAUGGACCUGCGUUGUAUUAGCUAGUUGGUGGGGUAAAGGAUCAACAAGGCGACGAUACAUAGCCGACCUGAGAGGGUGAUCGGCCACACUGGGACUUGGACACGGACCAGAAUACUACGGGAGGCAGCAGUAGGGAAUCUUCGGCAAUGGACGGAAGUCUGACCGAGCAACGCCGCGUGAGUGAAGAAGGUUGUCGGAUCGGAAAGCGCUGUUGUUAGAGAAGCGGUAAAUAACCAGAAAGGGACGGCUAACUACGUGCCAGCAGCCGCGGUAAUAC
rnacentral:rRNA from 1 species